AGCCGCGGUAAUACGGAGGGUGCAAGCGUUAAUCGGAAUUACUGGGCGUAAAGCGCACGUAGGCGGUUUUGUAAGCCAGCCGUGAAAUCCCCGGGCUCAACCUGGGAAUUGCGGUUGGAACUGCAAGGCUAGAGUAUGGUAGAGGGGUGUGGAAUUCCAGGUGUAGCGGUGAAAUGCGUAGAUAUCUGGAGGAACAUCAGUGGCGAAGGCGACACCCUGGACCAAUACUGACGCUGAGGUGCGAAAGCGUGGGGAGCAAACA
rnacentral:rRNA from 1 species